rnacentral:sRNA from 1 species
GUUUUGCAUGAAGGAUGGUAGUGGAAAUCCUUUGUGAAACUUAGUGUAACAAAGAUUGUAGCGUACAGCCUGACGCUGC